GCCGUCGCCUUUACUUGUCCCUGCUACAGUAACGUCUUUCUGCUAGUUUGACGUUUAUUGGAUAAGUGAAUUUGUUUCGUGUACCGAGUUCAAAUAAUUCUAACAAUCAUAAGGAAAUACUCGAAAUUUCUAUUUAUUUAUUUAUCUGUAUGCCUUGCGUAAGCCCGCAUUAUUUUAAAUCUUCCAUGAAUGUUGACAUUGUCUUCCCGCAGCUGUUUGUAAUGCAAAUAUCCUUCCUUGACCUGAAGCCUACAAGAUGGUUUUCAUCUUCAAGUUCUAAUUUUAGCUGAGAGUAAUGUAGAUAUAUAAACAAAAAUUACAUAUUCACAAAUGGCACAGAGAAUUCACUAUUGCAUCGUUUAUGAAUAAACUGAAACGAAAUUGGAUAAUUUGGUGGUAAUGCGGGGAUGUGGAUCUGUUUUGAUUUAAUAGGAAGCCGAGAAGGCUUGGGUGCUUCCAUUUCAUUCCUUAUACUUCUAUAUUCAAUUUCUAAUAGUGUUGAUGCUAGUUUGACAAAUGCUGAUACAUCCAAUAUACCUCAUAACACUGUCACGUCAGAUAUAUCAUCACCAACUGUUACGCAUCAUGAGAAUGACGAAUGUAGGAAUGUGACCACUGAUGAUAGAGCAAGUUCUGGACUGUCAGUGGUCAGCCAUGGAACUGGCCAUCCUCAUUCGCCAACAGUGCCUCCAACCUUUCUCCACGGAGUUCUUACCUGCCAACCCUAUCAAGGAAUUUAUGUGAACCAUGUCUAUUUUCAAUUAGCAAAUGUCUUCUUCCUAUUGUCACACCUUGCACCAAGUGGCAUACAUGGUGUCCUCUAUUUAAGGUGCACUCUGCUCGUGGGCUGUGCCUUUCUUGCUUUGUGGGGCUGGACAAUAGCUUGCUGGCUGGACGUCGUGCUCUGGAAUGCUCUCUUUGUUGUCAUCAACUUCGUCCAUGUAUGCACGCUUCUUUACAAGCUCAGGCCUAUCAAGUUUUCAAGGGAAGUUGAAGAGGUAUAUAUUGCUGUAUUCCAGCCAUUGAGAGUAUCACGUCAUCAAUUUAAAAAAGUCUUAAAUUGUAUGAAGAUCAUCAGACAAUUAAAAUAUCAAGAAGUUUACGCUCAAGAGAAAGUAACAAAAGUUGACUCCUUAUCAUUGGUGUUAUCAGGAAAAUUAGUUGUAUCACAGAAUGGAAGAGCAUUGCAUAUUGUCUUCCCACAUCAGUUCCUGGAUUCUCCAGAAUGGUUUGGUGUCUCUACAGAUGAAUAUUUCCAGGUAUCUAUAACAGCCAUGGAAGAAUCAAGGAUAUUAUUAUGGCACAGAGAUAAGUUAAAAUUAAGCAUUAUUAGUGAUCAAUUCCUGCAGGCAGUUUUUGAUCAUAUCCUUGGCAGAGAUGUAGUUAAAAAGUUGAUGCAGGUUAGUGAAACAAUGGCUGCUAGCAGUCAUCAACAACAAAAUGGACAAGUUAUUGGUCUUGGCAGCAUAGGGACGUUAGAAAAUGAUCCAGAUACUAAACUGUUCGUCGUUAAAAAAACGGGUGAUAGUCAGGGGAUUACUGCUCUUAUCAGUCGUCAGCUUCAAGAAGAGAGAAUGCCGCUGCUGUACAUGAGCCAAGAAGUACUACACAAUGCCUUACAUCAUACCUCAAAUCAUCUGUGUGCGCCUUAUACACGUCCUUUAAAUCCUGUGCAAUGCAACGUUCAGUCUUCCUUAUAAUGCUUUUGCUACAAAUUGUGCCUUUAUUUAGCACGUUUGUAUGCAUUGCAUAUAUUAUGUUUUCGAAACGAGCAUACACAUCUCAUAUGACUCUUACAGAAAGACUUCAUUUAUUCUUUUCUCCCGAAUAUUGUAUGCAGCAGCAGGUGAUCCAAAUGCUUGGAGAUUGGGAAGAAUCGAAGAGACUGAUCAUGAAACACCUGUCUAAUGAUUGUUAAAUUGAUGUCAUCCUCGACAGUCAAUAUGAUAUAAUAUUGGUCUUUUUAUGUAAUGCAGUUAUGAUGAGACAAUAUUCAUCAUAAUCUUCAUAGCAUGAUGUGCUGUGCGUGGAACAAUUGAACAUUCUCUUGCCAAUCUUUAAUUUUGUUCACAAUUAAUCAAAUUUAUUAAGUGAUAAUAAAAAAGUAAUUGUUUACAGCAUAAUAAUUCUACUAUAGUUUGUAAUAAGAUAUACAAAUAACAUUACUUUAUGCUUCCAUUGUAUUAUAAGGUACUAUGAAAUUUUUGUUGUAAGGAUCAACGAUUAUUAUUUAUUUAUAUAUUCUUAUUUAAUUAUCUCACAUUCAAUAAUAUAAUGAAUAUGAUUUUAUAAACACAAUAGAAUGAGCGUUGUUCGAUCGCAACGGCGUAACUUCUAUAACAUGAGAUAUUAAAUUACAGUCUAACUGAUAGAAGAUAGAGAGGCCUAUGAAGAGGAUUGCUUUCUAUACCCAAAAAUAGUGCCUUUUUACUUCCACUUUAAUUUUUAAUUUCGGAAUGAAAAGUAUAUACAGUACAAUUGUAUAAAAUCGUUAUAUAUUUAUUCAAUAUUUUUUAAAUAGAAAUUUUCCAAUAUUACUAUAUAUCAUGUAUGAGAAAAAUAAGGUCACAAUCUUGUUGAAGAAUACAUUCGUGAUUGGAGAGAUAAAUGAAGUUACGCCAUGAAUGCGUACGAAUAUUACGAAGUGCAACAUAGCAAAUGUUUAAACCUUUAUACUGACAUAUUGCUGGUAGAGGCAAAUCAUUGCCUGUAACUUGUAAUGUUAAUAAUGUGAAAUUAUCAGAGAUAUUAUAAUAAUAUUAAAAUCAUGUUGAUCAAAUUUUCAGUAUAAAUUAUCAGUAUAUAAAAGACUUAUUCAUUUCAUUUUGUGAUCAUAAUCUGUCAUUAAAAUUAGUUAUUAUGGAUGAAACAAUAAUAAGGACAACUGUACAGAGGAAGAGAGAUAAAUGUUUUACUAUUUACCAAUGUAUGUCAAAUAAGAAAGUCUCAAAUAACUGCUUUGACGAACAAGCCACAAUUAAAAAAUAAUUUUAAUGAAAAAUAAAACUGCAGCAUUUUUCCUGGAGUUUAAAGUGUAAAUCUCAGGUUUCGAUGUUGAAACGAUUUCAGCAAUGAAAAACAAAAAAGUUCUAUUGGAGACAGUAUCAUCUAGUCUUUAUAAAUCUGCAUUAAUAGUUUCAAAUGUCGUUGAUAUCGAAAUCAUGCACAGCUAAGGUUGUAAUACAUACUUUAAGAAGACUUUUUAUAUAUAAAACAUAGUUCUGAACACACAUUUUAUUCCAGAUAUUGCCAGUUUAAUCAUUGCAUAAAAAUGACAUCGUUUUCUCGUACACAUAAAGUAUACGUGCAUAAUUCGUCUAACAAAAAGAAUGAAAUUUAUUCUGCAAAAAAUAAAAAUUUUCCUUUCAACAGUAUAUGUCAUUGAUGAAAGGACCAUUCAAAUUUAAUGUACUUUACAUAUAAUUUAUAUAUAAAAAAACAACUAUAAUUAUGUCAAUGUAUUACAGUUAUAUGUUAUAUAUCUUUGUUGUUUACUGUUUUCCAAUGUUGUUAUUAUAGUUUUGUAUAUGUACUUAUUUUCAUUUUAUAGUUAGGUAAUAAA